AGUGAACGCUGGCGGUAGGCCUGACACAUGCAAGUCGAACGGCAGCACAGUAAGAGCUUGCUUUUCCGGGUGGCGAGUGGUGGGUGGUUCAGGAGUACGUCGGCGUUUGCUUUUUAGUGGGGAGCAAAGUAGGGACACAUACGCCAAAACAGCAUACGACGAACGGGUGGAAGCAUGGGAUCUUCGGCCAUUGGGCGAUCGAAUGUGCGGAUGUCAGAUUAGUUAGUUGGAGGGGUAAAGGCCCACCAAGCCGACGAUCCGUAGCUGGUCUGAGAGGAUGACCAGCCACACUGGGACUGAGACACGGUCCAGACUCCUACGGGAGGCAGCAGUGGGGAAUUUUGGACAAUGGGCGCAAGCCUGAUCCAGCCAUACCGCGUGCAGGAAGAAGGCCUUCGGGUUGUAAACUCCUUUUGUUGGGAAAGAAAAGCAUCUGGUUAAUACCCCGCGGUUCUGACGGUACCGAAAGAAUAAGCACCGGCUAACUACGUG
rnacentral:rRNA from 1 species